rnacentral:rRNA from 1 species
CCCCCCCCCCCCAACGACCAAGCCCCCACCACCCCCCCGGCCCCACCCCCCACAAAGUGAAGAAAUUUUUUGAGGUUCCCGGGGAAAAUUUUUUGGACUGACGCAGUGUUCAGCUUUUGGACGUUGCGUCGGAAAGUUUCAUGAACCUUAUCACUUAGAGGAAGGAGAAGUCGUAACAAGGUUUCCGUAGGUGAACCUGCGGAAGGAUCAUUC